rnacentral:rRNA from 1 species
UGUCUAUUAAUUGUAGACCUGUAUGAAAGGCAAAAUGAGGGUUUAACUGUCUCUUAUAAUAAAUCAAUUAAACUGAUCUCCCAGUAAAAAAGCUGGUAUACUCACAUAAGACCAGAAGACCCUGUGAAGCUUAAACUAAACUACUAAACCCCAUAGUAAUUACUUUCGGUUGGGGCGACCUUGGAAAUAAAAAGAACUUCCAAAUAUUAUGAUUAUAGCUCAUACACACCAGGCCAACAAGCCUAUAAAUUAGACCCAGCACAGCUGAUAACUGAACCAAGUUACUCCAGGGAUAACAGCGCUAUCUUCUUCAAGAGCCCAUAUCAAAAAGAAGGUUUACGACCUCGAUGUUGGAUCAGGACAUCCUAAUGGUGCA